AAGACUAUAGACCUGCGGAGUACCUGCGGAGGGAUCAUUAACACGUAUCCAAACGUACCAACCACACUACUACAGUAGUACGAACUUUCAACCCGUGCCUUGGCUUUUUUGGUGUCUUUGCAGGCGCAAGUCUGCGAAGCAGUCCUGUGACUGGGAACGGUUUCAGGCGCUGGUUACUAUUUUGACAGGUUGGUUAAUCCCUCUUGCCAAAUAAUAACGCACAGCCGAGGUGCCUAUUUU
rnacentral:misc_RNA from 1 species